AGGGGCCUUAAUGAUGAACUCCUGUUAGGUUGCUUCCUGUGAUCGACAGAGAGUCCUAGGGGCCUUAAUGAUGAACUCCUGUUAGGUUGCUUCCUGUGAUCGACAGAGAGUCCUAGGGGCCUUAAUGAUGAACUCCUGUUAGGUUGCUUCCUGUGAUCGACAGAGAGUCCUAGGGGCCUUAAUGAUGAACUCCUGUUAGGUUGCUUCCUGUGAUCGACAGAGAGUCCUAGGGGCCUUAAUGAUGAACUCCUGUUAGGUUGCUUCCUGUGAUCGACAGAGAGUCCUAGGGGCCUUAAUGAUGAACUCCUGUUAGGUUGCUUCCUGUGAUCGACAGAGAGUCCUAGGGGCCUUAAUGAUGAACUCCUGUUAGGUUGCUUCCUGUGAUCAACAGAGAGUCCUAGGGGCCUUAAUGAUGAACUCCUGUUAGGUUGCUUCCUGUGAUCAACAGAGAGUCCUAGGGGCCUUAAUGAUGAACUCCUGUUAGGUUGCUUCCUGUGAUCAACAGAGAGUCCUAGGGGCCUUAAUGAUGAACUCCUGUUAGGUUGCUUCCUGUGAUCAACAGAGAGUCCUAGGGGGCCUUAAUGAUGAACUCCUGUUAGGUUGCUUCCUGUGAUCAACAGGUGCGAUUUUCUUUGUUUAUUAUCCUUCUUUUGAAGCUUCUUGUAGAAAAUUACUGUAAUAAUGAUUGUGAAUACCGAUUGUGAGUAAUGACUGUAAAUAAGGAAUAUAAAUAAUGAUUGUCAAUAAUAUUUUUAAAUAAUGAUUGCGAAUAAUGAUUGAUUGUAAAGAAAUAAACUAUCAAUACAACAAUGUGACAUUAUCCAGCAAUAUGGUGGCUGUCGUGCU